CCUACGGGUGUGCAGCAGUGGGGAAUAUUGGACAAUGGGCGAAAGCCUGAUCCAGCCAUGCCGCGUGUGUGAAGAAGGCCUUCGGGUUGUAAAGCACUUUCAGUGGGCAAGAAAGCCUUGGGGCUAAUACCCUCGAGGAAGGACAUCACCCACAGAAGAAGCACCGGCUAACUCCGUGCCAGCAGCCGCGGUAAUACGGAGGGUGCGAGCGUUAAUCGGAAUUACUGGGCGUAAAGCGCGCGUAGGCGGUCUGAUAAGCCGGUUGUGAAAGCCCCGGGCUCAACCUGGGAACGGCAUCCGGAACUGUCAGGCUAGAGCGCAGGAGAGGAAGGUAGAAUUCCCGGUGUAGCGGUGAAAUGCGUAGAGAUCGGGAGGAAUACCAGUGGCGAAGGCGGCCUUCUGGACUGACACUGACGCUGAGGUGCGAAAGCGUGGGUAGCAAACAGGAUUAGAUACCCUGGUAGUC
rnacentral:rRNA from 1 species